GCUAGAUUAACUCCUUGGCACAGCAAGCACCUUGAAGACGGGCAUGUAGUGGACAUGCCGCACCGUUAAAAAGUCCCGCCAAUAUUUAAAAACCCCGCGCUUCCAAAUUGCGCCUCUCAUGUUUGUUUUAUAUUCGCUCGAUAGAGAGCAGCACAGCUAACCACAACAUUAAACAAAAUUACGCUGUUUGUGUUGUUGGUUGUUGGUUUUAUCAUCUGAAGUCUUAUUAAAUUUAAUUUUUAUUGCGCAUCAAUAAAUAUUUUAUUCAAAAUUUUUCAACUGUGGGCAGCAAUACUUUUCCAAGUCCUCACGUGUCUGCAUGGUACAAGAUCAAACUUAUCCUUGAGCUUUAAAGAAAGAUUGCGGAUGUAUUUGUCAGAAGUAGUAUGAUUCUACCUCUUGUUUUUUGUGUCAUUU
rnacentral:lncRNA from 1 species